rnacentral:lncRNA from 1 species
CUCCCUAAUAGUAUGCUUUACAAGUUUCCUCCUCAACUCAACAUAUUGUGCUUUCACCCUUGUUGCCUCAUUUUCGAUGUCACUAGCUUCUAUUUUUAAAACUUCUAAGUCUUGUAAUAAAUUGAUUAUCUCUCUUUUCAAUUCUAUCAUAUAUUUUUUAAAUCAAAACUUCUCUAUACAUAUGUUGUGGACUUCAUAGAAUAAUUACAACCUUAGAUGAAGGUUCAGAAUUUAUCUAAACUAUCAGAUAAGUAUAACCAGUAUCUUGACUUUAUAUUCAAAUUUUCAAAUAUUGAAUUGUAUAGCUGUGGG